CCUACGGGAGGCAGCAGUAGGGAAUCUUGCGCAAUGGGCGAAAGCCUGACGCAGCCAUGCCGCGUGAAUGAUGAAGGUCUUAGGAUUGUAAAAUUCUUUCACCGGGGACGAUAAUGACGGUACCCGGAGAAGAAGCCCCGGCUAACUUCGUGCCAGCAGCCGCGGUAAUACGAAGGGGGCUAGCGUUGCUCGGAAUUACUGGGCGUAAAGGGAGCGUAGGCGGAUAGUUUAGUCAGAGGUGAAAGCCCAGGGCUCAACCUUGGAACUGCCUUUGAUACUGGCUAUCUUGAGUAUGGGAGAGGUGAGUGGAACUCCGAGUGUAGAGGUGAAAUUCGUAGAUAUUCGGAAGAACACCAGUGGCGAAGGCGACUCACUGGCCCAUUACUGACGCUGAGGCUCGAAAGCGUGGGGAGCAAACAGGAUUAGAUACCCUGGUAGUCCACGCCGUAAACGAUGAGUGCUAGUUGUCGGCAUGCAUGCAUGUCGGUGACGCAGCUAACGCAUUAAGCACUCCGCCUGGGGAGUACGGUCGCAAGNUUAAAACUCAAAGGAAUUGACGGCGUGAGACGUGCGAGACGACGACGAGGGAGAGG
rnacentral:rRNA from 1 species